ACAUUAGCUAAGCAAAAAAAAAAAAAAAUGUCUGUGCUCCAAAAUAAAACAAUUUAAUUUGAAAAAAUAAAUAUCGUCUUAAUCAGUGUUAUUUGUGAAAAUUAUUUUCAAUACACAAUGUGUAGUAGCACAAAUUCUUCGGCACGCCACAAAAAUUCCACCACCAUUUCUUUCCAUCAUCAAAAUGCACAACCUCAGCCUUGUGCAUUUAGAAAAAUUAAAAUAAAAAAAAUGAUACAAAACCACCACCAAUGGAUUUGGAAAAUAUAGUGGAGAUCAAUUCCAGACAUCAAUGACUGAGUUUACAGUUCGAAAUUUUCCUCCACGCCAUCCAGAACGAGUGAAACGAAUCUAAUGUUUAGUAGAGACUACAAUACUUGAGUGUGAUCCACAUUUCACAGACUUGUAGUGUCUGCACCCUCCGACCACUUGUUGAUGUGUUCGCUCUAAUUCUAGACAAAAACAACAUUCAACAAUUCUAUGUCGAGUAUAAAAAUGACGUCAGAGACUCCUUGCUCGCCACAGUAUUGGAUGCAGUCCGUUCGAGUGGCAAUCAAGAUGUGCAAGUUCGUAUUACAAAUACAUUGCUAGGAAAGCAUUUUGUUCCCCUCAACAGUUGUGUGCAUGAAGCGACUCUCCUUCGUUUAGUGAAAAAGAAUUUCCAAAAUUCCUGACGUAGAUGUAAGAUUUAAGAGAAAUUCAACGCCAACAUUCCUCAUAGAAGUCUGAAGUAAAGUGUCACACAAGACGUUCAUGUUUUGAUAUAUAAUUCGACUGAAUAAA